UCAAACGGGUGACAGAAAAACGAAGCUGGUGAAGUGUCUGGAGGACAAGUCCUGUGAGGAGCAGCUGAGGGAGCUGGGGGUAUUUAGCCUGGAGGAAAGGAGGCUUCUCUUCAACUUUCUGAAAGGAGGGUGUAGCCAGGUCUGAGGAAUCACUGCAGUCUGGGUGUGUGUAGGCAGCCUCUACCCAGACAAAAGGCAGAGCAACAUGUACAGCCCUGAUCCAGCAUAAUGUACAGCCCAACCAAAGGUUGGAGAGACAGGGAUUUGAUGGAUGGACUGCUCGAUGGGUAAAGAACUGGCUGGACAGCUGCACACAAAGAAUUGUGCUCAACAGCUCAUAGUCCACAUGGAGACCAGCAUGUUCAUACCCUGCAUGAGAAAAGUUCUUAGUAAAGUAUGAAGAUGGACAUUUCACAGAUUCAAACUGGUGCCAAGACAGGCUUUUAAGGAUAAAGAAUACUGUGCAGGAUUUAUUUUAGGGCGGUUUCUGAUUAGCUGCUCAUCACUAUUAUGUCUGGAUCACAGUAUUGGCAGUUUUUACAGUCAGGUGUUUGGAUAGCAUGCUCAUUAUCCAAAGGCUCACACUUCCCAAGCUCAGGUGACAGAUGAAGCAGCCCAUCCAUGCACUUCCAGCUGGAGGAGCAAGGAAGAGGAUUCGGAAGGGCAAAAGGCUGGGAAGAUGCAUCUUUGUGUCCCUUGCAGUGGCUAGCAAGAGGUCAAGUCUCACUUUCACCAAAGAAGCAGUAGCAGUAGCCUUACAAUGUGCCUAAGACUCCAAGGAAAGAUCUGUGAAGAGCCUACACUGUUGGAUGGAGAGAACUCACAACAAUGUUAUUCCUGUAACUGCAGCAGGCAGCAAAAUUAAGAUUUGAGGGAAUUUAAAUAUAUAACCUCCAAUUCUGCUUCCCAUGAGUAUUUCAUAUGAGUUACAUUGAAACUGAAGAAAGAAGGACAGGAUGAAUGUGAUUUUAUGUAAAUCUGUUGAGAAUGUGGCAUGAGUAUUCACAAAAAGGCUUUUUAUGCAUUAGUUAUUCCUCCAUAGUUAAAUGUAUGAUGCUCAUCAGCUAUGGCAGGGAAAUGUGCACCUGCAGAAAGAAAUCUGGUGAGAAUAUGAUAAAGGUCUUGCUUGGCUGAAGCACAAAUUACCAGCAGACUUAGGUGCAGAAGUUAAUCUUGUGAUGAUGAUGACGAUUCACUUGGGGGAAUUGUGAGGAGUUUGUAAUAUGAGUUAUAUCGAUUUGUAGUUAUUGCAUAAAUGCAAAUAUUUAGAUGGACUGUGCACAGUAGUUUGCCACAACAGGAAAAAGCAGUGGUAGAGGAAGGGUUUUUUUCCAUCUCACUUAUGUAUGUAACCGUUGUCCAAGACACUCUGUACACUCCAUGGAGAGAUACAGACACUUUAAGGAAGUGAUUCAUCUCAGUUUUAGACAUCUAAAAUAAGGCAGAUGGAACAGUCUAUCUCUCUCCACAGAUGAACUUUUAGUCUGAAUUGCAUUCUAACAAGCAGGCCCACUGCAUAAAGAAUAUGACUACCUGCAGGCAAACAGAGAUCCUAUCUCAGCACCCUGCCACUAAUAUGGUCAAAUACAAAGUGAUAGUGCCUGUCUAUACAACAAAUUCAUUUUCAGCUGCAGCAGAAAUAUCUGAUGAAUCAGUCACAGUUGUGCUUUAAUGUAUAGUCAAAUUUACACAACACAAAGCAUGGCAUUCUAGUCUAUCAGGAAUUAACCCCCACCAUGCAGAAAAGUUUCAGUUUGCAUUUUUGAAGUUUGUAUUAAGGAAGAACAAUUCUGGUGCGGCUAUAAAUUCAGAUUUCUUUUUUUUUUUUUUUUUUUCCCUGAAUAAUUGAGUUGGAUUUGGAUUUGAUUUUGCAAAGAUGCAGGACAUUAUCUGUACGCAAAUUCCCCUGAAUACUUGGAAGAGAAGGACAGGGUGCCUCAUGCGAUCAAGUCCUCAGUCCAUGCAGAAUGCCUGUAUCUGAACUGCAGUGCUCCUUAGAUGUGUAACAUUUUGAAAUGCCCUGCAAAACUAUCACUUACCCUCCACUACUGCUUCCAGAUGCCAGACAGAAUGAGUCAGGUGUCUAAGCAUGGCUGAUUGGCCAAGCCCUAUCUAUAAUUGAUGGAGACAAGCACCUCUGAGGGGAGAUUCAGAUGUUCUAUGGAGAUUGUGAAUCACAUUGCCUACCUCUUGCCAGGGGUUAUUUCUUGGCACCCUGACUCACUUUGGGGCACCUUUCAGUUGCACUGAUGCUGCUCUUUUUGUUUGUGGCAUUCAUCAAGUUGCUUAAAUUGUUUGGGUUAAAAAAAACAAAAACAAAACUCCAAGCACUUCUCCCCAUACUACCAACUAAAAGGAAGUCUAUUCCCUGCCUCUACCUUACUGUGUGUUGGUGUAGAAUUUUAUGAAAAUCAAGUGUUUUUAAAACAGCAAAGGCAAUCUAUCCAGGGAACUAAUUUAAAUAAAAAAUGUGCUUUUGUUGUGUCUUAUGUGCUUUUGUCCAGGCAUUAAAGAACAAAAUAAAAGGAUGUGU